AGGGCGGGGCAGGCCCAACGUUUGCUGUCUCCUAGUCUAUUCUCCAGAACGGCCAUGAUUUCCCAGUUCUUCAUUCUGUCCUCCAAGGGGGACCCGCUCAUCUACAAGGACUUCCGCGGAGACAGCGGCGGCCGGGAUGUGGCCGAGCUCUUCUACCGGAAGCUGACGGGACUGCCUGGAGACGAGUCUCCGGUUGUCAUGCACCACGAUGAUCGUCACUUUAUUCACAUCAGACACAGCGGUCUCUAUUUGGUGGCCACUACUUCAGAAAACAUUUCUCCCUUCAGCCUCCUGGAGCUGCUCUCCCGGCUGGCCACUCUUCUGGGUGAUUACUGUGGCUCCCUAGGGGAGGCGACCAUCUCUCGCAACGUGGCUCUGGUCUACGAACUCCUGGAUGAAGUGCUGGACUAUGGCUACGUACAGACCACAUCCACGGAGGUGCUGAGGAACUUCAUCCAGACAGAGGCUGUGGUCAGCAAACCCUUCAGCCUCUUUGAUCUCAGCAGCGUUGGCUUGUUUGGGGCCGAGACACAACAGAGCAAAGUGGCCCCCAGCAGUGCAGCCAGCCGGCCAGUCCUGUCCAGCCGCUCUGACCAGAGCCAAAAGAACGAAGUGUUUUUGGACGUUGUCGAGAGAUUAUCUGUACUGAUAGCCUCUAACGGCUCGCUGCUCAAGGUGGAUGUGCAGGGAGAGAUCCGGCUCAAGAGCUUUCUGCCCAGCGGCUCAGAGAUGCGCAUCGGCUUGACCGAGGAGUUUUGUGUGGGGAAGUCCGAACUGAGAGGCUAUGGGCCGGGAAUUCGGGUGGAUGAGGUCUCCUUUCACAGUUCGGUAUUCCUGGAUGAGUUUGAAUCUCAUCGGAUCCUCCGUCUGCAGCCCCCUCAGGGUGAGCUGACUGUGAUGAGGUACCAACUCUCAGAUGACCUCCCUUCCCCGCUCCCCUUCCGGCUCUUUCCCUCUGUGCAGUGGGACCGAGGCUCAGGCAGGCUCCAGGUUUAUCUGAAGUUACGCUGUGACCUGCCCCCAAAGAGCCAGGCUCUGAACGUCAGGCUGCAUCUUCCCCUGCCUCGAGGGGUGGUCAGCCUGUCUCAGGAGCUGAGCAGCCCAGAGCAGAAGGCAGAACUGGGGGAGGGAGCCCUUCGCUGGGACCUGCCUCGAGUGCAAGGAGGCUCUCAGCUUUCAGGCCUUUUCCAGAUGGACGUCCCGGGCCUCCCUGGGCCUCCUGGCCAAGGCCCCUCUGCCUCGGCUCCUCUGGGGCUGGGCCCUGCCAGCCUCUCCUUUGAACUGCCCCGGCACACGUGCUCCGGCCUCCAGGUCCGCUUCCUCAGGCUGACAUUCAGACCCUGCGGCAACGCCAACCCCCACAAAUGGGGCUCCCCCGCCAGGGCCUAACAUCGUGUCCCAGCUCCGCCAGGCCUGCGAUGGAGCCGUAGCGCGUUGUCCAUGGGGUCUUCUCAUCCACCCAACUCUGUAAGGGGACGGAAAAUAAACCCAAAUGAAGGGGUGUGAAAAGCUAACUGGAGCCCACACAGGCCUCGGUGAUCUCCUUGUAGUACAGCUGCUGCUCCACUGACAACUCGUGGAUGCUUCGGGGCUUCAGUCGCAGAGGUGCCCCCUCCAGCAGGGGUGGCGCCUUCUUCUCUUUCCCUGUAAGUAAAGCUCCCGGCCACCACCAGAGGCGAAACGGAAAGGAAUGAAUUCCUGAGCAUGGAAGCCAUACAGUGGCUACAACAGGAGGGAGAGAGACCCUGGAUGAGAAGGGAGCCUGAGUUGGCUGGGCUGAGGUCAAUGCAAUGACUGGGAGGUCUCGGCACCCUGCCCCUUCGUCCUGUGCGUCCCCAUCACCUCAACGUUCUUUAGCUUCAGUGCGUAGUCAAUGUCACUGGUGGUGAGUUUCUGCCGCUUCCCCAUGUGCAUGAACUUCAAGGCAUCCUGGGUGGGGGGUAGGAGGACAGACGUCAGCCGCAGACCCUGGGGAAGAAGGCGGCCUGGGCAGCAGUCUCUGUGCAGUGCAGGAAGACCAAGGUACCUGUGCGAUCUCUUUGAUGCGGUAGCUGACCUCAUCCGUCAGCAGCUGGCAGGUCUCCUCCUGAAUCUGAGCGAUGCCCAUGGACUCGGCCACCACCUUCAUGGACUCCGAGGGCAGCACAGUGUUGCUCAACUUCAGCUUCUUCUCCUCGGCCAUUCUGGAGCCCCUCCUCCCCUCCCCGGAAGGAUGAUGCCCCAGGGCAGAGAGAUGGAGACCCUGGGAGGGGUUGAGAGGAAACUUGAGAGUGAGACCUAAAGAGGGGCUGUCCAGUCAGGAGAGGCCGCCACAAGGGGAGAGCAGUGGAGCAUGAGGGGGGGAUGGAGUUGGGGGAUGUCUUCUGUCCAUCCUCAUAUGAGCAGCACUCACUGAACAGGAGAUAGGACUUGGACCCAACUGGACGCAAUUUAUUGAGCUCUGGUUCUGUGCCAGGCACAGUACAAGUCAGGUAUAGCAGAACGAUCUCAGUUCUUAGUUUCAAUCCCAGCCCCAGCACUACCUAGCAGUGUUGUCUAGGCAAGCUACUUAAAUGCUCCCGGCUUUGGGUUUCUUCUCUGUAAAAUGUGCAAAGUAUCCUUUUUUCUCAGGUGGUUGACAUGCCUACCUUCAUGUCUCUUGCCCCUUCUUGCAUCAUUAUUCAUGCUUGACAAAUAUAAAAUGUUGGUUAAAUACAA